rnacentral:rRNA from 1 species
UACAGAGGUGGCAAGCGUUGUUCGGAAUUACUGGGCGUAAAGGGCGCGUAGGCGGUUCGUUAAGUCCUGUGUGAAAUCCCACGGCUCAACCGUGGAAGUGCACUCGAAACUGCGCAGCUAGAGUCCUGGAGAGGAAGGUGGAAUGCUUGGUGUAGAGGUGAAAUUCGUAGAUAUCAAGCGGAACACCGGUGGCGAAGGCGGCCUUCUGGACAGUGACUGACGCUGAGACGCGAAAGCGUGGGGAGCAAACAGG